GAGGAUCUUGUUUCCAUGGGGUUGGUUCGGAGUAUUGGAAUAAGCAACUACGAUAUCUUCCUCACCAGAGACUGUUUAGCUUACUCCAAAAUAAAGCCCUCAGUGAAUCAGAUCGAAACACAUCCAUACUUUCAGCGCGACUCCCUAGUCAAGUUCUGCCAAAAGCAUGGGGUCUCUGUCACCGCGCACACACCUCUAGGGGGUGCUACUGCCAACACUGAAUGGUUCGG
rnacentral:misc_RNA from 1 species